CAGCGCCAUCUUGUCAGUGCCUGACUCCGCCUGCUCCCGGAUAAUCCAUAAAUGGUUAAAGGGUUGGGUUGUGAGUGAAACUGGGGCGGGGCGAAUGAAGCCUGGCUGCUGGAACACGCCCACCUACCUCGAGGUUACCAAGCUAGCUAGAAGUUAGGCUACCGGUAUAUGCUAACCUGAACUGUAACUCGCAGCACUCACCAGACGUUGACAUUUUCCUCCGGCUUAAUACGUUUCUUGGGGAGUGACACAACAAAAGCAGCAGCCCCUCAGUUGGGGAUCUUGAUCCGGAUGGACGGCAGCCGGAUGGCCGCCGCCCUCACCUCGGCGAUCAUGUCCACACCAAGCGGCGCCCUGCAAUACAACACGCAUGAGAUCUGAUGGGUGGGAUUGCUGGAUGGCAGCAGGCCGUUCUCCUUGCAGAACACAAUGGCUCUGUGCGUGCGCUUUGCCAGAUGAGAGGCCACUGUGUGCUGUGUGGCGGCUGCAAUGUCCUGCACACAGGACAGCAGAGUCCCCUGCUCUACACCUGCAGAGGGUCAAAGUUACACACCAGUCACAGUUUCUGUCAACAUGUGAGAAUACUAGGGAACUAGCGUCAGAAGGUAUACUUUUUUUAAACAAACAUU